UAAUACGGAGGGUGCAAGCGUUGUCCGGAUUUAUUGGGUUUAAAGGGUGCGUAGGUGGUUUUUUAAGUCAGUGGUGAAAGCCUACAGCUCAACUGUAGAGGUGCCAUUGAAACUGGAAAACUUGAGUAUGGACGAGGUAGGCGGAAUUUGUGGUGUAGCGGUGAAAUGCAUAGAUACCACAAAGAACACCGAUAGCGAAGGCAGCUUACUGGACCAUAACUGACACUGAGGCACGAAAGCGUGGGGAGCGAACAGGAUUAGAUACCCUGGUAGUCCACGCCGUAAACGAUGCUCACUCGAUGUAUGCGAUAUACUGUAUGCGUCCAAGCGAAAGCGUUAAGUGAGCCACCUGGGGAGUACGCUCGCAAGAGUG
rnacentral:rRNA from 1 species